rnacentral:misc_RNA from 1 species
CGAAAACUGGGCUCGUUACUUCCUACAUUUUGUCAUGAAGUACGACGUUGUCCCCAGAAUGAUGCUUGCUCCUCUUUCAUCAAUUCAAGAAUUGCUUCAAGUAAUCUCUCCCUUCAUCAAUCCAAAGUCCCAGUAUUAUCAGCACGAGGCUGUUGCACGAUCAAGUCAUGCAUCGAAUUUCUUUAUGACUGUAAUGAGGAGUGCAUCCUCUGUUGCAAGCUAUGAUGCAUGUAAUCUGAAGGGAUGCACAAACUUACUGUUGGAAACUGUUUCCAACAUUGUUCAACUUAGCCCUUACAGACCCUUUGGAACUUACAUCUUCUGCACUGGGAAUAGGAAACUGGUUGUCGUUGAGAACCCUGAUGCUGUUCUGCAGUUACUGUUCUAUUCCUCUCAAUUGAGUUCCGAAGCAGAAGCUGCAGUAGUCGUUCCUAGAAGCUUAAACGAUCACCUGUCAUAUAAAAACGAAAUGCAAGAUAGCUUAGAGAUGCAAGAUGUUCUCCAUCUCAACAAUCUUACUGAUAUUCCUUUAUCUUCAAAUGUUGAUCCAAGUAUGAAUUCAGCACUGAAUGACCUUGGCCUGAGUACAAGAGCAAGGCUGUGUCUUCGUGCAGCAGGAGAGUGGGAGAAGCAGAAGAAGAAGAACGAGGAAAAGAUUGAACAAAAUAAGAGAAGCAUCAGGGACGCAUUAAGCAAGAUACAGGAGUAUCAGACCAAGUGUGAUAUCCGUAAAGUUGGGUAUUAUGAUGCAUUCAAGAUUCAAAACACCGAUGAUGACUUCAAUGCUAAUGUGAGAAGGCUUGAGCUAGCAGGUAUAUGGGAUGAGAUCAUUGAAAUGUUGAAAAGGUAUGAGCUCCCAGAUAGCUUCGAGGGACGAAGAGACUGGAUAGAACUAGGGACACAGUUUCGCAGGCAAGUUGAGCCCUUGGAUAUUGCAAACUAUUACAGGCACUUGAAGAAUGAAGAUACUGGACCUUACUUGAUCAGGGCUAGGCCUAAGCGUUAUCGGUUCACACAGAGAUGGUUAGAGCAUUUUGAUAGAGUGCAAGCUGGUGCACGUUCCGAGUCUUGUUUCUGGGCAGAAGUUGAGGAACUAAGAAACAAGCCAUUUGCACAAGUGCAAGACAGGGUUUUGAGUUUAGAAACAGCUGCAAAUGGCUGGAUCCAGAGUAGCCUUCUUGGCGAUGAUAUUUUCUUCCCUGAAUCUACCUAUACCAAGUGGUGGAAAACACUCCCACCUCAGCACAAACAGGCAUCUUGGGUGUCAAGGAAAAUAACUCCUUAGCGCCUUGCGCCCUAAUAUCUUGAUAAAGAUGGUAUCCCAGCCAACUCACAGACACCUAUAACAUUCCACCACAUAUGUUGCAAUGCCCCUAAUAAGAGCAGCCAGAUGGUAUUUGCUUCAGAUAAUAAGAAAAAG